rnacentral:rRNA from 1 species
AGUGAACGCUGGCGGCGUGCUUAACACACGCAAGUCGAACGAUGAACCUAGCUUGCUAGGGGAUUAGUGGCGCACGGGUGAGUAAUAUAUAGAUAACGUGCCUCUUAGUCUGGGAUAGCCAUUGGAAACGAUGAUUAAUACCGGAUACUCCUUCUGAUUCAAAUGUCAGUCGGGAAAGUUUUUUCGCUAAGAGAUCGGUCUAUAUCCUAUCAGUUAGUUGGUGAGGUAAUGGCUCACCAAGGCAAUGACAGGUAGCGGGUUUGAGAGGAUGAUCCGCCACACUGGUACUGAGACACGGACCAGACUCCUACGGGAGGCAGCAGUGAGGAAUAUUGCACAAUGGGGGAAACCCUGAUGCAGCAACGCCGCGUGGAGGAUGACGCAUUUCGGUGUGUAAACUCCUUUUAUGAGUCAAGAAAAUGACGGUAGCUCAUGAAUAAGCACCGGCUAACUCCGUGCCAGCAGCCGCGGUAAUGUCGUACG